UAGACAGCCAACAAUGAUUCUAGUGGAAGAAUCAGAAAUGGCUCGACUCUGCUAGCGUUUGCUUUCUUUCUUUGAAGAAAUGAGGGAGAAAAAGUGAUACAAACAAACAAACAUGCGAAAAAAUUUGUACAAAUGGAACUUGGGCUUCAAAAACAGUAAAUCCCAGAUCCAAACCAUUAAUAUUGCUAAACCAAUUUGAUAAAUCAAGUGUGAAAAGGAGGAACUAAAGAAUGGGUAGUAUUUUAUGGGUAGUCUUUUAAGGAAUAGGGAAGAAGCAUUUUAGGCCGUGUUUGAUGGUAGGAAUUACAUGGAAAUGGAAUUUCAAUUUCAUCUCUUCCAUUUUUUUGUUAUUUGGUAGCACAAUUAUUUCCAUGGAAUUCCAAUCUUGAUUGUCUUG
rnacentral:lncRNA from 1 species